AACCGGAGGAAGGUGGGGAUGACGUCAAAUCAUCAUGCCCCUUAUGAUUUGGGCUACACACGUGCUACAAUGGACAAUACAAAGGGCAGCGAAACCGCGAGGUCAAGCAAAUCCCAUAAAGUUGUUCUCAGUUCGGAUUGUAGUCUGCAACUCGACUACAUGAAGCUGGAAUCGCUAGUUAUCGUAGAUCAGCAUGCUACGGUGAAUACGUUCCCGGGUCUUGUACACACCGCCCGUCACACCACGAGAGUUUGUAACACCCGAAGCCGGUGGAGUAACCUUUUAGGAGCUAGCCGUCGUAGGUGGGACAAAAGAU
rnacentral:rRNA from 1 species